CAGUCGCCGCGGGAAUACGUAGGUGGCAAGCGUUGUCCGGAAUUAUUGGGCGUAAAGGGCUCGCAGGCGGUUUCUUAAGUCUGAUGUGAAAGCCCCCGGCUCAACCGGGGAGGGUCAUUGGAAACUGGGAAACUUGAGUGCAGAAGAGGAGAGUGGAAUUCCACGUGUAGCGGUGAAAUGCGUAGAGAUGUGGAGGAACACCAGUGGCGGAGGCGACUCUCUGGUCUGUAACUGACGCUGAGGAGCGAAAGCGUGGGGAGCGAACAGGAUUAGAUACCCCAGUAGUCCCUGUCUCUUAUAA
rnacentral:rRNA from 1 species